GUAUAAGAGACAGAUCAAAAACAUUGCUUUUUGAAUUUAUAAAAAGUACAUCCUGCCCGGUGAGAUAUUUAACGGCCGCAGUAUAUUGACUGUGCGAAGGUAGCAUAAUCAUUUGCCUUUUAAUUGGAGGCUGGAAUGAAUGGAUAAACAAAAUUAUAGCUUUCUUAGGUUUAUAGGUAAAAAUUUAUUUUUAGGUGAAGAGGCCUAGAUUAAUCUAAAAGACAAAAAGACCCUAUUGAGCUUUAUUUAAAUUUACAUAUAGGUUUUUUAAAUAAGAAUAUAGAGUAAUAAAAAUUUGGUUGGGGCGACAAAAGAAUAUAAAAAUCUUCUUUAGAUGAAAAGAAAAUAUAUAAUAUCCUUAAAAAAGAAUAAAAAUUAGUUACCAUAGGGAUAACAGGCUAAUCUUUAUAGAGAGUUCAUAUUGAUAUAAAGGGUUGGCACCUCGAUGUUGGCUUAAGGAAUCCUGUAGGAGUAGAAAUUUACGAGGGAUAGUUUGUUCAACUAUUAAAUCCUUACAUGAUCUGAGUUCAGACCGG
rnacentral:rRNA from 1 species